rnacentral:rRNA from 1 species
UGGGGAAUAUUGCACAAUGGGGGAAACCCUGAUGCAGCGACGCCGCGUGAGUGAAGAAGUAUUUCGGUAUGUAAAGCUCUAUCAGCAGGGAAGAAGAAAGACGGUACCUGACUAAGAAGCCCCGGCUAACUACGUGCCAGCAGCCGCGGUAAUACGUAGGGGGCAAGCGUUAUCCGGAUUUACUGGGUGUAAAGGGAGCGUAGACGGCUGUGCAAGUCUGAAGUGAAAGCCCAGGGCUCAACCCUGGGACUGCUUUGGAAACUGUGGAGCUAGAGUGCUGGAGAGGUAAGUGGAAUUCCUAGU